ACCUGUGGUUGCGGACGGAGCGGGUCUGUAUGCAGUAGCAGCAUCCGUGACCAUGAGAGGCAGCUCUGGGGAGCAGGUGUCCUGCAUCAUCAGAAAUUCCCUCCUCGGCCUGGAAAAGACAGCCAGCAUUUCCAUCGCGGACCCCUUCUUCAAGAGUGCCCAGAGCUGGAUCGCCGCCCUGGCCGGGACCCUGCCUGUCUUGCUACUGCUUCUCGCCGUAGCCGGUUACUUCUUGUGGCAACAGCAGGAGAAGAAAAAUACUCUGUCCAGAAAGAAAAAGAGAGAGCAACAGUUGGGAGAAAUGGCAUGGAACACAAUGAAGCAAGAACAAAGCAAAACAGUGAAGCUCCAGGAGGAACUGAGUAAGUUCCCAUUCCCCCAGAGACCCAGGCAUGUCCUCCUGUCCCUGCUUUCAGCGCCCUGAUGCAUCUUCCCCGUUUAUUCCAUUGCAGGGUGGAGAAGCAUCCAGUACACGGCUUGGGCCACAGACUCUAUAGCACUAUAAAGCGCUGAGAAAUAUCCAGGCAUACACUUAUAAAGGAACGGGGAAGAGGUGGAUAAAGUGCACUCUCUGUGGUAGGAACUUCACUAGUCAUUUUACAUAAUCUACAGGCUCCAGAGAAGAAAAGAAUAAAAGAUAAUAAAGAACAAGAAAAUUAGAAAAAAGAGACAGAGAAAAGAGGAGCUUGAACAGUUGCUCAGUUGGUACCAAUUUAUUCUAACUGCCUUCAAAAACUAUUCCCUGAAAUUUCUCAUUAAAUUUCCCAAAUUCUUUGCAGAGUAAGGUAGGAUUGAGAUAGAAGAAUCUUACACACACACACAUACAUACAUACACACACACACACACAUAUAUAUACACAUAUUUAUAUAUACACACAUAUAUUACAUAUAUAUAUAUGCACGUAGACAUGGUGACACCAGGAGGAUAGAUACAUUCCAAAUAGAUCAGCCGAAUACCAUCGGGAAGAAACUCUCACAGUGUUUGCCAUGUCACUAGCAUUCGACUGAUGUUCCUGGAUUUGAUAUUAAGAACAACACCAUAGAGAGAAUUGAACCUGCAGAGGAAGAAGGUACCGGUGGUUUAAAAAAAAAAAAAAAGAUCAGAUGGAUGUAAAAGUAAGGGAAUGGGGCCAACUCAAACAUGGCAAGUUGAGGUGACAUCUC